rnacentral:rRNA from 1 species
GGGUUGUGAGGUUAAGCGACUAAGCGUACACGGUGGAUGCCCUGGCAGUCAGAGGCGAUGAAGGACGUGCUAAUCUGCGAAAAGCGUCGGUAAGGUGAUAUGAACCGUUAUAACCGGCGAUGUCCGAAUGGGGAAACCCAGUGCAAUUCGUUGCACUAUCGUUAACUGAAUACAUAGGUUAACGAGGCGAACCGGGGGAACUGAAACAUCUAAGUACCCCGAGGAAAAGAAAUCAACCGAGAUUCCCCCAGUAGCGGCGAGCGAACGGGGAGCAGCCCAGAGUCUGAAUCAGCUUGUGUGUUAGUGGAACGGUCUGGAAAGUCCGACGGUACAGGGUGAUAGUCCCGUACACCAAAAUGCACAGGCUGUGAACUCGAAGAGUAGGGCGGGACACGUGGUAUCCUGUCUGAAUAUGGGGGGACCAUCCUCCAAGGCUAAAUACUCCUGACUGACCGAUAGUGAACCAGUACCGUGAGGGAAAGGCGAAAAGAACCCCGGCGAGGGGAGUGAAAAAGAACCUGAAACCGUGUACGUACAAGCAGUGGGAGCACCUUCGGGUGUGACUGCGUACCUUUUGUAUAAUGGGUCAGCGACUUAUAUUCUGUAGCAAGGUUAACCGUAUAGGGGAGCCGCAGGGAAACCGAGUCUUAACUGGGCGUUAAGUUGCAGGGUAUAGACCCGAAACCCGGUGAUCUAGCCAUGGGCAGGUUGAAGGUUGGGUAACACUAACUGGAGGACCGAACCGACUAAUGUUGAAAAAUUAGCGGAUGACUUGUGGCUGGGGGUGAAAGGCCAAUCAAACCGGGAGAUAGCUGGUUCUCCCCGAAAGCUAUUUAGGUAGCGCCUCGUGAAUUCAUCUUCGGGGGUAGAGCACUGUUUCGGCUAGGGGGUCAUCCCGACUUACCAACCCGAUGCAAACUACGAAUACCGAAGAAUGUUAUCACGGGAGACACACGGCGGGUGCUAACGUCCGUCGUGAAGAGGGAAACAACCCAGACCGCCAGCUAAGGUCCCAAAGUCAUGGUUAAGUGGGAAACGAUGUGGGAAGGCACAGACAGCCAGGAUGUUGGCUUAGAAGCAGCCAUCAUUUAAAGAAAGCGUAAUAGCUCACUGGUCGAGUCGGCCUGCGCGGAAGAUGUAACGGGGCUAAACCAUGCACCGAAGCUGCGGCAGCGACACUAUGUGUUGUUGGGUAGGGGAGCGUUCUGUAAGCCUGCGAAGGUGGCCUGUGAGGGCUGCUGGAGGUAUCAGAAGUGCGAAUGCUGACAUAAGUAACGAUAAAGCGGGUGAAAAGCCCGCUCGCCGGAAGACCAAGGGUUCCUGUCCAACGUUAAUCGGGGCAGGGUGAGUCGACCCCUAAGGCGAGGCCGAAAGGCGUAGUCGAUGGGAAACAGGUUAAUAUUCCUGUACUUGGUGUUACUGCGAAGGGGGGACGGAGAAGGCUAUGUUAGCCGGGCGACGGUUGUCCCGGUUUAAGCAUGUAGGCGGAGGUUCCAGGUAAAUCCGGUACCUUUUAACGCUGAGGUGUGAUGACGAGGCACUACGGUGCUGAAGUAACAAAUGCCCUGCUUCCAGGAAAAGCCUCUAAGCAUCAGGUAACAUUAAAUCGUACCCCAAACCGACACAGGUGGUCAGGUAGAGAAUACCAAGGCGCUUGAGAGAACUCGGGUGAAGGAACUAGGCAAAAUGGUGCCGUAACUUCGGGAGAAGGCACGCUGGUGUGUAGGUGAAGUCCCUGCGGAUGGAGCUGAGACCAGUCGAAGAUACCAGCUGGCUGCAACUGUUUAUUAAAAACACAGCACUGUGCAAACACGAAAGUGGACGUAUACGGUGUGACGCCUGCCCGGUGCCGGAAGGUUAAUUGAUGGGGUUAUCCGUAAGGAGAAGCUCUUGAUCGAAGCCCCGGUAAACGGCGGCCGUAACUAUAACGGUCCUAAGGUAGCGAAAUUCCUUGUCGGGUAAGUUCCGACCUGCACGAAUGGCGUAAUGAUGGCCAGGCUGUCUCCACCCGAGACUCAGUGAAAUUGAACUCGCUGUGAAGAUGCAGUGUACCCGCGGCAAGACGGAAAGACCCCGUGAACCUUUACUAUAGCUUGACACUGAACAUUGAGCCUUGAUGUGUAGGAUAGGUGGGAGGCUUUGAAGCGUGGACGCCAGUCUGCGUGGAGCCAACCUUGAAAUACCACCCUUUAAUGUUUGAUGUUCUAACGUUGGCCCCUUAUCGGGGUUGCGGACAGUGUCUGGUGGGUAGUUUGACUGGGGCGGUCUCCUCCCAAAGAGUAACGGAGGAGCACGAAGGUUAGCUAAUCCUGGUCGGACAUCAGGAGGUUAGUGCAAUGGCAUAAGCUAGCUUGACUGCGAGCGUGACGGCGCGAGCAGGUGCGAAAGCAGGUCAUAGUGAUCCGGUGGUUCUGAAUGGAAGGGCCAUCGCUCAACGGAUAAAAGGUACUCCGGGGAUAACAGGCUGAUACCGCCCAAGAGUUCAUAUCGACGGCGGUGUUUGGCACCUCGAUGUCGGCUCAUCACAUCCUGGGGCUGAAGUAGGUCCCAAGGGUAUGGCUGUUCGCCAUUUAAAGUGGUACGCGAGCUGGGUUUAGAACGUCGUGAGACAGUUCGGUCCCUAUCUGCCGUGGGCGCUGGAGAAUUGAGGGGGGCUGCUCCUAGUACGAGAGGACCGGAGUGGACGCAUCACUGGUGUUCGGGUUGUCAUGCCAAUGGCACUGCCCGGUAGCUAAAUGCGGAAGAGAUAAGUGCUGAAAGCAUCUAAGCACGAAACUUGCCCCGAGAUGAGUUCUCCCUGAGACUAUAAGUCUCCUGAAGGAACGUUGAAGACGACGACGUUGAUAGGCCGGGUGUGUAAGCGCAGCGAUGCGUUGAGCUAACCGGUACUAAUGAACCGUGAGGCUUAACCUUACAACGCCGAAG